rnacentral:rRNA from 1 species
AGAGUUUGAUCCUGGCUCAGAUUGAACGCUGGCGGCAUGCCUUACACAUGCAAGUCGAACGGCAGCACGGAGCUUGCUCUGGUGGCGAGUGGCGAACGGGUGAGUAAUAUAUCGGAACGUACCCUGGAGUGGGGGAUAACGUAGCGAAAGUUACGCUAAUACCGCAUACGAUCUAAGGAUGAAAGUGGGGGACCGCCUUGGCGGCCUCAUGCUCCUGGAGCGGCCGAUAUCUGAUUAGCUAGUUGGUAGGGUAAAAGCCUACCAAGGCAUCGAUCAGUAGCUGGUCUGAGAGGACGACCAGCCACACUGGAACUGAGACACGGUCCAGACUCCUACGGGAGGCAGCAGUGGGGAAUUUUGGACAAUGGGGGCAACCCUGAUCCAGCAAUGCCGCGUGAGUGAAGAAGGCCUUCGGUG